rnacentral:lncRNA from 1 species
CUGGAUGUCUGUGCCAGUCCUUGCAGAUACUCAGAGCCUCCUCUCAUUCCAGCUCUUUGAGGCUCAGCGCUGCCAUAGGCAGCAGGAGCAACAUGCACAGGCAGAGGGAGGAGUCUGCUGUACUGGGCUCACUGCUCAGGGAUGAGUCCUGCAAGUCCAGAUCUCCUCCUGAGGCCCCAGAGAGCUCUUUCUCUGGGUGGAAGCAGUUUUUUAGAGCGGCUGACCUCAAGAGCAUCCUGGUGUUCCAGGGGAUAGCAUUCCAUUUUUCUCUUCACACAUAAUGAGCAGUGAACUCCUUGAUUGUUGCUGUCUGUUCCCUCUACUGAGAGACCACUGAAGCCAACAAAUCCAGCGUUUCAUGCUGCAAUCUAAACAGAGUGAUGCAUUGCAGGUGCUUUCCUCAUCUCCUCACACCUCACAGAAACAUUAGGGGGGAUUUUCAACUUCCUACUCAACUUUUAAAUGGAGAGGCAGGUCAGUCUGCGGAUUAGAAGACUAAUAAAUCUUCUGCCUUCCCUUGUUGUACA